CCUACGGGAGGCAGCAGUGGGGAAUCUUGCGCAAUGGGCGAAAGCCUGACGCAGCCAUGCCGCGUGAAUGAUGAAGGUCUUAGGAUUGUAAAAUUCUUUCACCGAGGACGAUAAUGACGGUACUCGGAGAAGAAGCCCCGGCUAACUUCGCGCCAGCAGCCGCGGUAAUACGAAGGGGGCUAGCGUUGCUCGGAAUUACUGGGCGUAAAGGGAGCGUAGGCGGAUAGUUUAGUCAGAGGUGAAAGCCCAGGGCUCAACCUUGGAAUUGCCUUUGAUACUGGCUAUCUUGAGUACGGAAGAGGUAUGUGGAACUCCGAGUGUAGAGGUGAAAUUCGUAGAUAUUCGGAAGAACACCAGUGGCGAAGGCGACAUACUGGUCCGUUACUGACGCUGAGGCUCGAAAGCGUGGGGAGCAAACAGGAUUAGAUACCCUGGUAGUCCACGCUGUAAACGAUGAGUGCUAGUUGUCGGCAUGCAUGCAUGUCGGUGACGCAGCUAACGCAUUAAGCACUCCGCCUGGGGAGUACGGUCGCAAGAUUAAAACUCAAAGGAAUUGACGG
rnacentral:rRNA from 1 species